UGUGGGAGCGGGCUUGCUCGCGAAAGCGGUGUGUCAGUCAAUUAUUCAUCAACUGACCCUGUGCAUUCGCGAGCAAGCCCGCUCCCACA
rnacentral:misc_RNA from 1 species